rnacentral:tRNA from 1 species
CAGCAUGUGGCUCAGUUGGUAGAGCACUUGCCUGGCAUGCAUGAAACCCUGGGUUCAACCCCCAGCAUGCCAA